UGUUGUUGUUGAUAUGUGGCACCCAAAAUUGUACAGCAUCCAAGUGGAGAGAGAAUAAUGGUCAUCAUGUUGAUUAUGAUCAACGGCCUGAUAUCUUUAGUGGAACAAUUAGAUAUGCGAGUGUCCAUGCCCAUUUGGGGAGCACUGGUAGUAGGAGGGAUGAUUUAGAGUUACUGGCAUACACCCUUAUUUUCUUGAUAAGAGGAAGAUUACCUUGGCAAGGCUACCAGGGAGAUACCAAGAGUUUCCUUGUUUGCAAGAAGAAAAUGGCUACAACUCCGGAGAUGCUUUGUUGUUAUUGUCCAACUCCAUUCAAACAAUUUUUUGAGAUUGUCACAAAUAUGAAAUUUGACGAAGAGCCAAAUUAUGCCAAGCUUAUCUCUCUUUUUGAUGGUUUGAUUGAAGCGCCUGCUUCGAGACAAAUCGGAACUGAUGGGGCUCU